CCUACGGGUGGCUGCAGUGGGGAAUAUUGGACAAUGGGGGCAACCCUGAUCCAGCCAUGCCGCGUGUGUGAAGAAGGCCCUCGGGUUGUAAAGCACUUUCAGUGAGGAAGAACGCCUGGUGGUUAAUACCCAUCAGGAAAGACAUCACUCACAGAAGAAGCACCGGCUAACUCCGUGCCAGCAGCCGCGGUAAUACGGAGGGUGCGAGCGUUAAUCGGAAUUACUGGGCGUAAAGCGCGCGUAGGUGGCUUGAUAAGCCGGUUGUGAAAGCCCCGGGCUCAACCUGGGAACGGCAUCCGGAACUGUCAAGCUAGAGUGCAGGAGAGGAAGGUAGAAUUCCCGGUGUAGCGGUGAAAUGCGUAGAGAUCGGGAGGAAUACCAGUGGCGAAGGCGGCCUUCUGGACUGUCACUGACACUGAGGUGCGAAAGCGUGGGUAGCAAACAGGAUUAGAUACCCCAGUAGUC
rnacentral:rRNA from 1 species